UUCCACACCUUGUUACUUGUCUUUUCCAAAACCAAGAAACCAUCUUUUUCAGAGAUAUGAGCUCCUUCGUGCCACAAGUCACUUCUAACUUCCAUAUCCUUACCUCAAUAUUGCUUUCUCUUCUUUCUCAUGGCUUUUGGAAUGAAAAUAGGAGUUAAUGGAGGUGAUACCAGUUGAGAUGACCUUCUUGAGAUUUUUUUAGAUGUUGGCAUGUUACUUUGGCCUUUCGCCUUUCUCUUGAUCAUGCCUACUUGAUAGUGAUUUUCU
rnacentral:lncRNA from 1 species